rnacentral:lncRNA from 1 species
CUAAGAUUUACAAGAUUGGUGUGAUUCUAAUCAGCAGCAUACUGCUCAAGCACUGUUUAUGAGAACAUGUUGAUAUGGAAAAUAGGGCUGAAAAUAUUGUAAAAACACAUUCAGUCUGGUAUGGAAACAACUUCCAAGAAGUUAUUUUUGAACAAUUUCCACUUCUUGUCUUGUCCUUAAACAGGAAACAGUAAGAAUCAUAACAAUAACUAUGUUUAGGUUCUUAAGCUUUACAAAAUCUUGCAAGCAAGUUAAAGUCACUGGCACAAGUACUGGGAAAUUCUUAUUAAAUUCAGAUACAUUUUACCAUACUCAUUUUUUGCUUUCCUGACAAAGAACAACUGUAACUCCAAAGGUAUUUUCAUCAAAAAUACUUUUUAGAAAUCAAAGAUUACGUUCCUGUCUGUGACAAUGCUUUGACAGCAAAGGACUUCUAUCAGCUUUCCUCAGUUGGAGAAACUGGCUGAGAGCUCCUUGUUUAAUGAUUUCUUUAACAUUACUGAUGACAGGUUGUCCUUGUGAACCAUGCCAGGAACUUCUUAUCCUGUCUCUCUCCUCCCCUGCAGGUUUGAUACAUCUUACUAGAAGAAAGGUAGACACUGGAACCAUGAAAGACUUGAAGGAAUACAGUGACAUGAGAAACAACCAGGUUUUCCAGUCCUUACUAAUGGUUCCCCUAGAAGAGGACAGACCACAUCCAAUCCAUCAAUAUAAGGAAACUUUCAGGUGCAACAUCGGAUUGGUCCCAGAGUAGCAGCCUUUCUACAAACAACACUGAAUAGAGAGAAGGGAAGUUCAGAUUAAGAGAACACGGAUAUUUGCAUCUCAAUGACACUUUCUAUUGAACCACUUUAAAGCAUUGAUAUCCUGGUCUUACUUCCAUUGAAAUCAAUGGCAAAA